UGCGCAGGCGGGAAAUUAAGUCAGUGGUGAAAUCCUGCAGCUUAACUGUAGAAUUGCCAUUGAUACUGAUUUUCUUGAGUGCAGUUGAGGUGGGCGGAAUGUGUAAUGUAGCGGUGAAAUGCUUAGAUAUUACACAGAACACCGAUUGCGUAGGCAGCUCACUAAACUGUUACUGACGCUCAGGCACGAAAGCGUGGGGCGCGAACAGGAUUAGAUACCCUGGUAGUCC
rnacentral:rRNA from 1 species